rnacentral:rRNA from 1 species
UUAGCUAGUUGGUGGGGUAAUGGCCCACCAAGGCUACGAUCAGUAGCUGGUCUGAGAGGAUGAUCAGCCACACUGGGACUGAGACACGGCCCAGACUCCUACGGGAGGCAGCAGUGGGGAAUUUUGGACAAUGGGGGCAACCCUGAUCCAGCCAUUCCGCGUGAGUGAAGAAGGCCUUCGGGUUGUAAAGCUCUUUUGUCCGGAACGAAACGGUUGGCGUGAACAUCGCCGACUACUGACGGUACCGGAAGAAUAAGCACCGGCUAACUACGUGCCAGCAGCCGCGGUAAUACGUAGGGUGCGAGCGUCAAUCGGAAUUACUGGGCGUAAAGCGUGCGCAGGCGGUUUUGUAAGCCAGAUGUGAAAUCCCCGGGCUUAACCUGGGAAUGGCAUUUGGGACUGCAAGGCUUGAGUGCGGCAGAGGAGACUGGAAUUCCUGGUGUAGCAGUGAAAUGCGUAGAUAUCAGGAGGAACACCGAUGGCGAAGGCAGGUCUCUGGGCUGACACUGACGCUCAUGCACGAAAGCGUGGGGAGCAAACAGGAUUAGAUA